AUUGAACGCUGGCGGCAGGCCUAACACAUGCAAGUCGAACGGCAGCACAGAAGAGCUUGCUCUUUGGGUGGCGAGUGGCGGACGGGUGAGUAAUGUCUGGGAAACUGCCCGAUGGAGGGGGAUAACUACUGGAAACGGUAGCUAAUACCGCAUAACGUCGCAAGACCAAAGUGGGGGACCUUCGGGCCUCACACCAUCGGAUGUGCCCAGAUGGGAUUAGCUAGUAGGUGGGGUAAUGGCUCACCUAGGCGACGAUCCCUAGCUGGUCUGAGAGGAUGACCAGCCACACUGGAACUGAGAAACGGUCCAGACUCCUACGGGAGGCAGCAGUGGGGAAUAUUGCACAAUGGGCGCAAGCCUGAUGCAGCCAUGCCACGUGUAUGAAGAAGGCCUUCGGGUUGUAAAGUACUUUCAGCGGGGAGGAAGGCGGUGAGGUUAAUAACCUUGCCGAUUGACGUUACCCGCAGAAGAAGCACCGGCUAACUCCGUGCCAGCCGCCGCCGUAAAAC
rnacentral:rRNA from 1 species